rnacentral:rRNA from 1 species
CCUACGGGAGGCAGCAGUGAGGAAUAUUGGUCAAUGGGCGAGAGCCUGAACCAGCCAAGUCGCGUGAAGGAAGACGGUCCUACGGAUUGUAAACUUCUUUUGUCAGGGAGCAAGGAGCGCCACGAGUGGUUCGGCGCGAGUACCUGAAGAAAAAUCAUCGGCUAACUCCGUGCCAGCAGCCGCGGUAAUACGGAAGGCCCGAGCGUUAGCCGGAUUCAUGGGGCUUAAAGGGAGCGUAGGCGGGCGUUCAAGUGAGCGGUAAAAUCGCGCGGCUAAACCGCGCACCGGAGUUGAAACUGGGCUCCUUGAGUUCACAACAGGCAGGCGGAAUUCGUGGUGUAGCGGGGAAAUGCAUAGAUAUCACGAGGAACCCCGAUUGCGAAGGCAGCCUGCCGGGGUGCGACUGACGCUGAGGCGCGAAGGUGCGGGUAUCAAACAGGAUUAGAUACCCGAGUAGUC